CUCUCGGCAACGGAUAUCUAGGCUCUCGCAUCGAUGAAGAACGUAGCGAAAUGCGAUACUUGGUGUGAAUUGCAGAAUCCCGCGAAUCAUCGAGUUUUUGAACGCAAGUUGCGCCCGAGGCCACUCGGCCGAGGGCACGUCUGCCUGGGCGUCACGCACCGUUGCC
rnacentral:rRNA from 1 species